CUUUCCAGUUGUUUAUCUUCUGCCAUUCAUUUUCCUGUUAGGCCUGGGAAGAAACUGAGUUUUCAGAGAAUUCUGUUGUUGCUGUAAAAUGUAAUUUGCUCUGCUGCAGAGCAAACCAGGCAGAGUGAGCUGUGACUCUCUUCCUUCCUUGCUGGCUGCCUGUCUGGCACCACUUUCCCUCAUAAGCUGGGCUCUUAAGUGGAGACAGUGCAUCCAAGACAGGAUUCCUCAGCCUCUGUACUGGUGUAAGGGAACUGAGUGAGAAAAUACCUCAUCAGCAUCUAAGCCCUCUGAUUCUUAUUUCACUGGAAGAGAUGAAAGAUCAGAUCCUGCUAUUAGCUACACUGAUGUCGAUCUGGGGUGACUCCAGUAUCUGCAUCUUGAUAAAAAAUAAUCCUGUCAUCGGCUUCUGCUGAGAGAGGGUGAAGGGAGGAGUUAGCAAGAAAUCUGGUGCCCUUCUCCCAGCAAGGGAUUCUGGCGCGUCUUACGAGCAGCGUCGAUUUUCAUUGACAUACUUCAGAUCAUACUUCAGAUCAAGGGGAAAAUCCGGAGGAAGGAGAAUGCAUCGGGCUGAAAGAUGAUGAGAGUCCCAGGAAUUGUGACAGUGAAGAGUGUGUGACCUCGUUUUCACUGGGAAGAUAACGGGGGAAAAAAAGAUGCCGUGCCGAAGUCUGCAGUGUUGUACGCUGCUCAAGUUUUUGAAAUAAAAGACAGAAUUUCC
rnacentral:lncRNA from 1 species